rnacentral:rRNA from 1 species
GACGAACGCUGGCGGCGCGCUUAACACAUGCAAGUCGAACGGAAAGGCCUGCUUUCCCUUGUGGAUUGCGGGUACUCGAGUGGCGAACGGGUGAGUAACACGUGAGUGAUCUGCCCCCAACUUGGGUAUAAGCCUGGGAAACUGGGUCUAAUUCCCGAUAGGACUGCAGGGUGGUGCCUGUGGUGGAAAACGAUUUUCUAGUGGUUGGGGAUGAGCUCGCGGCCUAUCAGCUUGUUGGUGGGGUAAUGGCCUACCAAGGCGGCGACGGGUAGCCGGCCUGAGAGGGUGGACGGCGACAUUGGGACUGAGAUACGGCCCAGACUCCUACGGGAGGCAGCAGUGGGGAAUAUUGCACAAUGGGCGGAAGCCUGAUGCAGCGACGCCGCGUGGGGGAUGACGGCCUUCGGGUUGUAAACUCCUUUCGACCGCGAGGAAGCCACCUGGUUGGAAGGGUGGUGACGGUAGUGGUAGAAGAAGCACCGGCUAACUACGUG